rnacentral:rRNA from 1 species
GAUGAACGCUGGCGGCGUGCCUAAUACAUGCAAGUAGAACGCUGAAGGAAGGAGCUUGCUCUUUCCGGAUGAGUUGCGAACGGGUGAGUAACGCGUAGGUAACCUGCCUGGUAGCGGGGGAUAACUAUUGGAAACGAUAGUUAAUACCGCAUAACAGUAGAUGUUGCAUGAUAUCUACUUAAAAGGUGCAAUUGCACCACUACCAGAUGGACCUGCGUUGUAUUAGCUAGUUGGUGAGGUAACGGCUCACCAAGGCGACGAUACAUAGCCGACCUGAGAGGGUGAUCGGCCACACUGGGACUGAGACACGGCCCAGACUCCUACGGGAGGCAGCAGUAGGGAAUCUUCGGCAAUGGACGGAAGUCUGACCGAGCAACGCCGCGUGAGUGCAGAAGGUUUUCGGAUCGUAAAGCUCUGUUGUAAGAGAAGAACGAGUGUGAGAGUGGAAAGUUCACACUGUGACGGUAUCUUACCAGAAAGGGACGGCUAACUACGUG